rnacentral:lncRNA from 1 species
AAACUUAUUAGAACUUUCCACUCCUCAGAAGACAGCCAAAAAUCAAAACCAGAUGGUCAAUGAGUCAAGGGAAGAAUUUCGGCUAACCAAUUUUCGGAAUCGGAAGCCAAAACAAAUGCAGAUUGAUUUUACUGGAGUGACCUCGAGGCCUAUAAUUUCCAGUCCGCUUUAUGCUGAGUCUGAGCAUUCAGAUGCUGAGACUUCUUGCAGAGAGGACCGUGCAGGAGUUUCUGAUGAGAAGAGGCCUCGAAAGCGUGGACGAAAGCCCUCCCAUGGAAGAGAAGAGCCUAUCAAUCAUGUAGUGGCAGAAAGGCAGCGAAGAGAGAAGCUGAACCGUCAGUUCUGUGCAUUACGAGCAGUUGUUCCAAAUAUUUCCAAGAUGGACAAAGCCUCGCUUUUGGGAGAUGCAAUCGCUUACAUAACCGAGCUUCAAAAGAAGCUGAAGGAAAUGGAGUCGGGCGUAGAAAAACAUGAAAGCAUUUCGAGGAAGGCAUUGAUUUUUGAAACUAAGCCAAAUUCAAAAUUACAAGAUCAAGUUCCAAGAAUCGAAGUCCAAUCUGUCCAUGAUCAAGUCAUUGUGAGGGUACUCUCUCCAUUGGAUGCCCAUCCUGUAUCAAAUAUCAUCCAAGCAUUCCAAGAUGCACACGUAAAUAUUCUAGAAUCAAAUAUCGCCACGGGGACUGAUGCAGUGUUUCACACAUUUGUAGUGAAGUCGCAAGGAUCCGAUCAGCUAACUAGGGAAAAGUUGAUGCAAUUAUUUUCCCGCGAGUCUAACUCCUCGGAGCUUCCCAUAUCAUCAGUUGAUUGAUAAUUGUACUGCAUUUAACAUGGUUGCUAGGAAUUCUGUGUUUUGAAAAAUCUGAAAAGCUUCUGCAGGGAUUUUGAUUAUUCAUCAGUUGAUGCUAGGAAUUACGAUUAAGAAAAGUACUAUCUUUUGACAGUGUAGAAUUUCAAUUUUUCUGUUUCUUUAUAGUUAUAUAUAAUCCGUCAUUAGUAUGUAAUUGUGCAAGUUACAUUCAAUUUAUUAAGUUUAACUGGUUUUUCUGGUGUUUUUAUUCUGAAAGUUGUUAAUUUUGUUUUAGUUUGUCUUGUUCUAUAUCUUCAUUGUGAGAUGAUUUCAUUCUCUGAAAACCCAUGCUGCCGUGAAAAUGAUUCAAACAUCGAUGAUAUGUCUAAUUCAUCGGCGCUCACACACACACACACCCCCUUGAAUGGAGUGUAACUUUUGUAAUUUUCUAUAACACAUUUUUGGCCAAAAUAAAAAAAUCAUGCUUUGAUUCACAUGAUUCAAACAUCGAUAAUAUGUCUAAUUCAUCGACUCUCACACACACACACACAUGUUGAAUGGAGUGUUACUUUUGUAAUCUUCUAAAACACAUUUUGGCAAAAAAAAUUCAUGCUUUGAUUCACGUGAUUCAAACAUCGAUGAUAUGUCUUAAUCAUCGGCUCACACACACAUACACCCCUUUAAUGGAGUGUUGCUUUGGCCAAAAUAAAAAAAAAUUUGAUUCACAUGAUUAAAACAUCGAUGAUAUGUCUAAUUCAUCAGCUCACACACACCCCACCCCUUUAAUGGAGUGUUACUUUGGCCCAAAAAAAAAAUAUAUAUAAAAAAAAAUAAAAAAAUAAAAAUUGGAUUAACAUGAUUCAAGCAUCGAUGAUAUGUCUAAUUCAUUUGCUCACACACACACCCCCUCGAAUGGAAUGUUACUUUUGUAAUCUUCUAAAGCACAUUUUGGCAAAAAAAUAAAUAAAUAAAUCAUGUUUUGAUUCACAUGAUUUAAACAUUGAUGAUAUGUCUAAUUCAUUGGCUUUUACACACACACCUUGAAUGGAAUGUUACUUUUGUAAUUGGCUAACCAAUUUUCGGAAUCAGAAGCCAAAACAAAUGCAGAUUGAUUUUACUGGAGUGACCUCAAGGCCUAUAAUUUCCAGUCCGCUUUAUGCUGAGUCUGAGCAUUCAGAUGCUGAGACUUCUUGCAGAGAGGACCGUGCAGGAGUUUCUGACGAGAAGAGGCCUCGAAAGCGUGGACGAAAGCCCUCCCAUGGAAGAGAAGAGCC